UGAACGCUGGCGGCGUGCCUACUACAUGCACGUCGAGCGAACGGACGAGAAGCCUGCUUCUCUGAUGUUAGCGGCGGACGGGUGAGUAACACGUGGAUAACCUACCUAUAAGACUGGGAUAACUUCGGGAAACCGGAGCUAAUACCGGAUAAUAUUUUGAACCGCAUGGUUCAAAAGUGAAAGACGGUCUUGCUGUCACUUAUAGAUGGAUCCGCGCUGCAUUAGCUAGUUGGUAAGGUAACGGCUUACCAAGGCAACGAUGCAUAGCCGACCUGAGAGGGUGAUCGGCCACACUGGAACUGAGACACGGUCCAGACUCCUACGGGAGGCAGCAGUAGGGAAUCUUCCGCAAUGGGCGAAAGCCUGACGGAGCAACGCCGCGUGAGUGAUGAAGGUCUUCGGAUCGUAAAACUCUGUUAUUAGGGAAGAACAUAUGUGUAAGUAACUGUGCACAUCUUGACGGUACCUAAUCAGAAAGCCACGGCUAACUACGUG
rnacentral:rRNA from 1 species